UUCGGGUGCUUCUAGGUCGAAGAGGGUCUGCUCGACCGUCUACAGGUCGGAGGGGAUCUGCUCGGUCGGCCCCUGCUCGAAGGGGUCUGUUUGGUCGGCCCCUGCUCGGAGGGGACCUGCUCGACCGGCCCCCGCUCGGAAGGGUCUGCUUGGUCGGCCCCUGCUCGAAGGGGACCUGCUUGGUCGGCUCCUGCUCGGAGGAAACCUGCUCGACCGGCCCCUGCUCGGCGGGUCUGCUCGAGCAAGCGUGGCAACAUGUUCUUCCCCCAACACUAACUAUCCAAGACUUGGGCCUUGUUUGGUUUGGGUCUCCCGUAAAAGUCGGUACGAGUGGUACCAAGUCUAGGUUGGAUCAGGAAAGGAUUGUUAUCGGGUUCAGUCUCAAGUUAUACAAUUUUUAUGAAGAAAUCUUCUUCUUUUUUUAAUCUUCAAAACCUCAAGACAAUACAAAGCUUGAAAUUACAUUCAACAAAGUUUAUAAACAAAACUUAAAAAUUAUAAGCAUAAAAUUAUAUAUUAUAAAUAGGAUAAAUUUAGAUCCAAUUCAGUUGGGUCCACAAAAUCAUAGCCAUAUUUUUUAGAAAAUAUAUAACCAGACUGAAUCAUUAUUGGUUUGGUCAUCAAUUUUUUUAUUAAAAUUAAACUAAUUUUUUCGUAUUAAUCAGAAAAUAUUUUUGGAAAGAAUUUUUUUUGUCAAAUAGGCAUUUUUCAGUUUUUCCUAUAAAAUCAAAAUAAUAUUUUAUUUUUUUGUUAAUUACUACUAUACUAUUUAAAAAUAUUUUUGGACGCCAGAAAGGAUGGAUACCUUUUUUGAACACAGCGUAAAUUCAGACAGCCACGAAACAGCUCCACGGAUUGGCGAUUCCGAAAGACAGAGACCCCGGAGCCAUCUACACCUUCGCAGUGCAUUCAUUGCGAAACCAACGUAAUCAGUAGCCAGGAUAUAAAAGAGACGUACAGCUUCUCUCCGAUCGACGCACAGUUGGAUUUUGUCCUAUUUCAUUUCACUUCAAUCAGUAGUUGGAUUAUUUCAUAUCACUUCAAGUAGAACUUCUGAUCCAGCUGGAGAUCAUUAUGUGGGCAGUCAAGGCCCGUCUUACUGUGACAGUGUGACCG
rnacentral:lncRNA from 1 species